rnacentral:rRNA from 1 species
GAUGAACGCUGGCGGCGUGCCUAAUACAUGCAAGUCGAGCGAACGGACGAGAAGCUUGCUUCUCUGAUGUUAGCGGCGGACGGGUGAGUAACACGUGGAUAACCUACCUAUAAGACUGGGAUAACUUCGGGAAACCGGAGCUAAUACCGGAUAAUAUUUUGAACCGCAUGGUUCAAAAGUGAAAGACGGUCUUGCUGUCACUUAUAGAUGGAUCCGCGCUGCAUUAGCUAGUUGGUAAGGUAACGGCUUACCAAGGCAACGAUGCAUAGCCGACCUGAGAGGAGGAUGUGCCACACGGGAAGUGAGACACGAGGCGGACUAGUCCGGGAGGGGGAAGUGGGGAAGAUGGGACAAUGGGCGCAAGCCUGAACCAGCCAUCGCGCGUGUGUGAAGAAGGUCUUCGGAUUGUAAAACCUUUUUAUUGGGAAAGAAAAGCAGCAGCAGAAUACCCCGCUGUUCUGACGGUACCCAAUGAAGAGGCAACGGCUAACUUCGUG